UCGAGGAUCUUCGGCAAUGGGGGCAACCCUGACCGAGCGACGCCGCGUGUGCGAUGAAGGCCUUCGGGUUGUAAAGCACUGUCGAGGGGGAGAAAAGCCGAAAGGCCUGAUCUAUCCCUGGAGGAAGCUCGGGCUAAGUUCGUGCCAGCAGCCGCGGUAAGACGAACCGAGCGAACGUUGUUCGGAAUAACUGGGCUUAAAGGGCGCGUAGGCGGGCCAUCAAGUUCGAGGUGAAAUCCUCCGGCUCAACCGGAGAACGGCCUCGAAUACUGGGGGUCUCGAGGGGGGUAGGGGCACGCGGAACUGUGGGUGGAGCGGUGAAAUGCGUUGAUAUCCACAGGAACUCCGGUGGCGAAGGCGGCGUGCUGGACCUCAUCUGACGCUGAGGCGCGAAAGCCAGGGGAGCAAACGG
rnacentral:rRNA from 1 species